rnacentral:rRNA from 1 species
UACGAAGGGGGCUAGCGUUGUUCGGAAUCACUGGGCGUAAAGCGUAUGUAGGCGGAUCGUUAGGUCGGGGGUGAAAUCCCGAGGCUCAACCUCGGAACUGCCUUCGAUACUGGCGAUCUUCGAGUCCGGGAGAGGUGAGUGGAACUCCGAGUGUAGAGGUGAAAUUCGUAGAUAUUCGGAAGAACACCAGUGGCGAAGGCGGCUCACUGGCCCGGUACUGACGCUGAUAUACGAAAGCGUGGGGAGCAAACAGG